CUGAUAUAUUGAACCCUCUUCAUCCUCCUCUGCCUACCUGUUCCCAUCGUCUUCGUCUGAGUCACCAUCUGUAUCACCAUCUGUCUGGUCUUGCACCGAUCUCCCAACUUACCUGAACGCCCUUCGUCGAACCUACCUGAUAUAUUGAACCCUCUUCAUCCUCCUCUGCCUACCUGUUCCCAUCGUCUUCCCCUCAGUCACCAUCACUCAUUGUCUGGUCUUGCACCGAUCUCCCAACUUACCUGAACGCCCUUCGUCGAACCUACCUGAUAUAUUGAACCCUCUUCAUCCUCCUCUGCCUACCUGUUCCCAUCGUCUUCGUCUGAGUCACCAUCUGUAUCACCAUCACCUUAAAGGAAAGUUGUGUUACCACUGUGUUGUCUACGUGUCAAGAUUCACCUGUGUCUGAAACCUCUGAGUUACAUUAAACACUAUUGCACUGAAUCCUCUGUGUCCUCGUCUGUGUCUGACACGUAUAUUGUUAUUACAAAAUAUUUAUAUUUUUAAAAAUAUUAGUUUCUUUUUUUUUUUUUUUUUUUUUUAUUUUUUACUUUUAUUCAUUUUCUUUUUUUUUUUUUUUUACUUUUUAUUCAUCAAAGUAUCCUAAAAAUGUUCUGAAAAAAUAUUAAGCAGCAGAACUGUUUCCAACUUUGAUAAUGAAUCAUCAUAUUAGAAUGAUUUAUCACGUGAUCCUAACAAUUCAGCUUUGCAUCACAGAAAUAAAUGAUAAUUUAAAGUAUAAUAAAUUUAAAAACAAUUAUUUUAAAUUGUAAUAAUAUAUCACAAUAUUACAUUUUUUUUUUCUGUAUUCUUGAUCAAAUAAAUGCAGGCUUGAUGAGCAGAAGAAACUUCUUUCAAAAACAUUAAAAAAUAGUAAUGUUUCCAAACUUUUGGUCUGUACUGUAUAUAUAUAUAUAUAUAUAUAUUUCUAUGCACAUGCACUCUGCAAACAAAACUUACCCCACUAACUACUAAAACUAAUUAAAUUUACGCUGUACUGUAUAUAUAUAUAUAUAUAUUAUAUUUCUAUGCACAUGCACUCUGCAACAAAAUUACCCCACUAACUCUAAAACUAUAAAUUCUUUGCAAAUAUAGCUUUUCAAGCCAUCUGCUGAAAAUUCUUGUAUUUUUCAAAUUGCAGAAGAACUAAAUAUCACAAUGUCAGUUUUUCCCAAU
rnacentral:lncRNA from 1 species